UUCGAUGUUAUUGAAAAGUUGUUUUGGUCCGUUUUGUUCUACCGUAUAUGAUACAGACUAUACAUUGUUUUAUGUCCGUAUCUAUGUUUAAGGUUGUAAUUAAAUUGUUUUGCUGUGGCUUUUGUAAAAUCAAAAUUUCUAAGGAGGUUAAAUUGAUCGAACUGAUUUGAACGGCAUAUGUCAUACAAAAUUUGCUUUCGAAUUGCGAAUUUGACUGCAUUUUCAGUGCUAGAUGGCUCCUGUGCAUGCAUGUAUAAUGUAAGAAUAUAUUUCCUAUUAUGCUGCCAGUGGCUUAGUCGUACAGGAAUUGCAGUAACAUUGAUUCUUGAAUAUUGCAUCGGUAUGAUAUCUUAUUGCCACCACCUAUUUAAUAAUUUUCGUCCACAGUGCCAAGUCUAAGGCUUUGUGACAUUAUCGUAAUAACGAAAUCAUUCAUCAAUAAUCAAAAACUGUAUAGUAUUUCUGUUCUUUAGGUAUUUUAUUUGCGGCGUUAAUCCCAACAUAAUAGAUACUAAUUUUGAUAUUUUAUUUACUUUUAUUUAGAUGCUUGUGUAUGCAGCCUCUAUAUCCUCUUGUCACAGGCGUUGUGCUGUCGAUAUAUGUUAUUGUACCGGAGCCAAGGAAGAAGCACUGUCGUGUCAAACAGUACAAUAGGAUUAGAAGGGCAGCAUGAGAGCACUGUCAAACCGUUUGGUGGAUUGCAUGAGAGACUUUGCUAAAUCUAAAUAUACACUCACAGUGGCAGGGUGGCAUGACCUUGGUAGAGUUCUUUCACCUUAGACUGGUGAAAGUAAAUUGAAACUUUGCUAGCAGGACCAGAGUAUACAGCUUCCCAAACUGUUGAAAGACAAGACUAAGCUGUUUUUCUAUGGACUUGUAUGCUAUCUAGAUAAUGCUAUCUAGGUUGAAAACAGCCACAGACAAUGAAUUUGGAGGUGCAUGCUGGAGCAUCAGAAAAUACAUACUUGGAAUAAAUAAUUGCACAAUACACAUUUACUGAGAAGUGACUAAUGUUUAUGUUAUGUUAAAGUGCAAUAUCCAUAUUUGUAGCAUUUACUUGGGGGUAGUAGUUACAGUGUUGAAAGAGACUACCAGUGUUACAUUUCAAUCUCAGUUACAGUGUGGAUGCUUAUUCUAAAUUCUUGAUAAUCAAGUGUUUUUAAUAACUUAUGAAAACAAUACUAAUUAUUUACCAAACUGUUUAAUUUAUCACAUUCCUACAUCAUUAUUGUAUAUAAAAUGCUUGUGGUUAUAUAAUAUAUG